rnacentral:rRNA from 1 species
CCAGUCCUACGGGACGCAGCAGUGAGGAAUAUUAGUCAAUGGACGAGAGUCUGAACCAGCCAAGUCGCGUGAAGGAUGACUGCCCUAUGGGUUGUAAACUUCUUUUAUAUGGGAAUAAAAUGUUCCACGUGUGGGCUUUUGUAUGUACCAUAUGAAUAAGGAUCGGCUAACUCCGUGCCAGCAGCCGCGGUAAUACGGAGGAUCCGAUCGUUAUCCGGAUUUAUUGGGUUUAAAGGGAGCGUAGGUGGCUUGUUAAGGCAGUUGUGAUAGUUUGCGGCUCAACCGUAAGA